rnacentral:tRNA from 1 species
GGCCGCCUGGCGAAAUGGCAUCGCGUCUGACUACGAUUUGUAGUUUAAUCAGGAGAUUGCAGGUUCGACCCCUGCGGUGGUCA